rnacentral:rRNA from 1 species
CCUACGGGAGACAGCAGUGAGGAAUAUUGGUCAAUGGACGAGAGUCUGAACCAGCCAAGUAGCGUGAAGGAUGACUGCCCUAUGGGUUGUAAACUUCUUUUAUAUGGGAAUAAAAUGUUCCACGUGUGGGAUUUUGUAUGUACCAUAUGAAUAAGGAUCGGCUAACUCCGUGCCAGCAGCCGCGGUAAUACGGAGGAUCCGAGCGUUAUCCGGAUUUAUUGGGUUUAAAGGGAGCGUAGGUGGAUUGUUAAGUCAGUUGUGAAAGUUUGCGGCUCAACCGUAAAAUUGCAGUUGAAACUGGCAGUCUUGAGUACAGUAGAGGUGGGCGGAAUUCGUGGUGUAGCGGUGAAAUGCUUAGAUAUCACGAAGAACUCCGAUUGCGAAGGCAGCUCACUGGACUGCAACUGACGCUGAGGAGCGAAAGCGUGGGUAGCAAACAGGAUUAGAUACCCCAGUAGUC